GACGAACGCUGGCGGCGUGCCUAAUACAUGCAAGUCGAACGCAGUGGGGACGGGUGAGUAACACGUGGGUCACCUCCCAUCAGAGGGGAUAACACUUGGAAACAGGUGCUAAACCGAUACUGAUGGAUGAACCCGCGUUGCAUUAGCUAGUUGGUGAGGUAACGGCUCACCAAGGCCACGAUGCAUAGAAGACAUGAGAGGGUGAUCGGCCACACUGGGACUUAGACAAAGCCCAGAAUCCUACGGGAGGCAGCAGUAGGGAAUCUUCGGCAAUGGACGAAAGUCUGACCGAGCAACGCCGCGUGAGUGAAGAAGGUUUUCGGAUAGUAAAGCUCUGUUGUUAGAGAAGAGGUAUCUAACCAGAAAGCCACGGCUAACUACGUGCCAGUCGCCGCGGUAAUAC
rnacentral:rRNA from 1 species